UCUCCCAGUCUCUCCGCUCUCGCCUCCGUUUCCUCCUCCCCCAAGUCCCACCCCACUUCGCGGCAUCCGCCACCUCCUGCCGCAGGCGCACGGAUUCGUUCGCAGCGAUGGCGCCGUCUAGGCACGCGGACGAGGGUGGGCAGCUCCAGCUCAUGGAGCCCGACAGGGUCGACGAGGAGGAGGAGUGCUUCGAGUCCAUCGACAAGCUGAUCUCUCAAGGGAUAAACGCAGGAGAUGUCAAGAAGCUGCAGGAUGCAGGAAUUUAUACUUGCAAGUUGCAAUGGCCUAAUGAUGCAUGCCAAGAAGAGCCUUACCGGAAUCAAAGGUUUGUCUGAAGCUAAAGUUGAUAAGAUCUGCGAGGCAGCUGAAAAACUUCUGAGCCAGGGCUUCAUGACAGGAAGUGAUCUCCUUCUCAAGGUAAGAAAUCUUGUCCGGAUUACAACUGGAAGCCAGGCACUUGAUGAUCUGCUUGGCGGAGGGAUUGAAACACUUUGCAUCACAGAGGCAUUUGGGGAGUUCCGGUCAGGGAAAACUCAGUUGGCUCAUACUCUCUGUGUCUCCACUCAGCUUCCAAUCCACAUGCAUGGGGGGAAUGGGAAGGUCGCCUACAUUGACACUGAGGGAACAUUCCGACCUGAACGCAUUGUGCCAAUUGCUGAGAGAUUUGGGAUGGAUGCCAAUGCUGUUCUUGACAACAUCAUAUACGCCCGCGCAUACACCUAUGAGCACCAGGACAACUUGCUGCUGGGCCUUGCUGCCAAGAUGGCUGAAGAACCUUUCAAGCUUCUGAUUGUGGAUUCUGUGAUUGCACUGUUCCGUGUUGAUUUCAGUGGCAGGGGUGAACUUGCUGAGCAUCAGCAAAAGUUAGCACAGAUGCUGUCCCACCUUACCAAGAUUGCUGAGGAGUUCAAUGUUGCAGUGUACAUCACCAACCAAGUGAUUGCUGAUCCAGGUGGUGGCAUGUUCAUAACCGAUCCAAAGAAACCAGCAGGCGGCCAUGUGUUGGCGCAUGCUGCCACCAUCAGAUUGAUGCUGAGGAAAGGCAAAGGCGAACAGCGUGUCUGCAAGAUUUUUGAUGCCCCUAACCUUCCUGAGGGAGAAGCUGUUUUCCAGGUUACAUCAGGUGGAAUAAUAGAUGCAAAAGACUGAUUAUCCGCUCGGUUCUGUCCUAAGAUCUCGUCAAGGCUUCUUUAGUGAAGUCUGCAACAUACAUCUGUACAUCGAGAGAAGUUAAAGUAGUGUUACUCUGUUUUAUCUUUAACAUAGAAAAAAAAGGUCUGUGGUGCUUAGGCCUUCUACUGGGCAUUUUUGCACGGAGUUGAGAACAUGAGAGAUCGAAACAACUGAACCAAGAGGAUAUGUUUUUUCUACAAGGUGAACAUCUUCUUCUUGGCUUCCCAAAAACUAGACAGAGAGUAUUUACUAUACAACAUGAGAACAGGACUAUGCUUCUUGGUUUGUUUAACAUACAAUGAAUGAAGGGAAGAUUUGCUGCUGAUGCUAA